CGGGGCAUAGCGCAGCCUGGUAGCGCACUUGCAUGGGGUGCAAGGGGUCGGAGGUUCAAAUCCUCCUGUCCCGA
rnacentral:tRNA from 8 species